rnacentral:rRNA from 1 species
AGGGGGUUUGGAUCCUGGCCUCAGAACGAACGUUGGCGGCGUGGAUGAGGCAUGCAAGUCGAGCGUGAAAGCCCCUUCGGGGGUGAGUAGAGCGGCGGACGGGUGAGUAACACGUAGUCAAGCUACCCCCGAGACCGGGAUAACCACGGGAAACUGUGGCUAAUACCGGAUGGCCCUGCGGGAACGCAUGUUCCUGUUGGUAAAUGGUUGGGAUCCUUCGGGACCUUCUGCUUGGGGAUGUGAUUGCGGCCUAUCAGCUUGUUGGUGGGGUAACGGCCUACCAAGGCGAUGACGGGUAGCAGGCCUGAGAGGGUGGUCUGUCACACUGGGACUGAGACACUGCCCAGACUCCUACGGGAGGCUGCAGUCGAGAAUCUUCCGCAAUGGGCGAAAGCCUGACGGAGCGACGCCGCGUGGAGGACGAAGGCCCUCGGGUUGUAAACUCCUGUCACGGGUGAUGAAUGUGUAUGUGUUAAUAGCGCAUGCAUUGACGUAAGCCCGAAAGGAAGCACCGGCUAACUCCGUGCCAGCAGCCGCGGUAAUACGGAGGGUGCAAACGUUGUUCGGAAUUACUGGGCAUAAAGGGCUCGUAGGCGGCUGUGUAAGUGUGGAGUGAAAUCCCACGGCUCACCCGUGGAACUGCUUCGCAGACUGCACGGCUAGAGGAUGGUAGGGGAGAGCGGAACUCCUGGUGGAGCGGUGAAAUGCGUAGAUAUCAGGAGGAACACCGGUGGCGAAGGCGGCUCUCUGGUCCAUCUCUGACGCUGANGAGCGAAAGCUAGGGUAGCGAA